AUAGUAUGUAGUAACUUAGAGGUGGUAACAUGAAGGUUGCCAUUUAUUGUUUUGUGGGAUCUAUAGUAGUACUUUAACUUUGUGAUCUAUAUGAGGUCCAAAAUUAUAAGGAUGCAUUGGAGAGAAUUGUCCAAAACUUAGCAAGCCUUCAGAUGCAGGGGUGUACAUUGGCCUCCUGUUACAAAUAUGAGGUUAUGUUCAGAUCCACAUUCUAUGAAUACAAAGCUUGGGAUUUUGGAACGGGACAAUUCGCUUGAAGCCACUGAAUAUAUAGCUUUUGAGGACUUUGGUUUAGAAGCCUAAAGUAUGUUCCAAUCAUAAACAGUUUUCAUUCCAAAAAGGAUUUCAAACUACAGCUCAUGUAUUCUCUGAAGAAAGGUUUGAAACAAUUCAUUUUAAGAAAAAAUAAUCUGUAGUUAUCACAAUUUAAUAGAUUGUCUGAAUUAAUCCAUAGCAAUUUCCUUGCAUGUAUUCAGGCUACCUUAACACACGCUGAAUCAGACUUACAAAUUCAGACUUAGAUGUUAGUAAAGACUUGGCAGUACAAACAUUACCUACUGCUGUUUUAUUAAGAUGGAUAUAAUCCUACUAACUACAGUAGAGGGAUGUGAGUACAGACUUGGCACUCGGCAGUAUAGAAAUUCCCUGAACAACUACACACGCUGAAUCAGGUAUUCUAGAUCCUGAACACAAAACAUAAAUUAUCUAAUGCUGCAAAUUUGAGCUGAAGAAAUUGCAAUUGCUGAAGAUUGAACUGAAACCAGAAAUUUAUACCAUGUAGGGUUUGCAGUAGAGGAAUCUAUGAGAGAGGGGUACAGGUGCGGCGGUGUCGACGGACUGGUGGACGAGCUAGUCGGAGCGCCGGCGUAGAAGAGCGGCUGUGGCGAGCGGCUGGCGUCACGAGCCUGCCGGGACGCGCUGACCGGGCUGGUGCCGCCUUCUUACAGGCACCAGACUUGGCCAUGAUUCCGGUGGCUUCGCCCCGCCCGCCAGAGCCGCCUCCGGCCGGCGAGAGGGAGUGCGGGACAGGGGGAUCGAGGCGGCAGGGGAGGGAGAGGAUGAAGGUGCAGCCGUGGAGAAGGGAAAGGAGAUUUUUCUUUCGCGAUGGGGACGCCCGCAGCGGAUCGAUUCAC
rnacentral:lncRNA from 1 species